rnacentral:rRNA from 1 species
GCAUUAUACCGCGAAACUGCGAAUGGCUCAUUAUAUAAGUUAUCGUUUAUUUGAUAAUACUUUACUACUUGGAUAACCGUGGUAAUUCUAGAGCUAAUACAUGCUAAAAAUCCCGACUUCGGAAGGGUUGUAUUUAUUAGAUUAAAAACCAAUGCCCCUCGGGGCUCUCUGGUGAAUCAUGAUAACUAGUCGAAUCGACAGGCCUUGUGCCGGCGAUGGCUCAUUCAAAUUUCUUCCCUAUCAACUUUCGAUGUUUGGGUCUUGUCCAAACAUGGUGGCAACGGGUAACGGAGGGUUAGGGCUCGACCCCGGAGAAGGAGCCUGAGAAACGGCUACUACAUCCAAGGAAGGCAGCAGGCGCGCAAAUUACCCAAUCCCGACACGGGGAGGUAGUGACAAUAAAUACUGAUACAGGGCUCUUUUGGGUCUUGUAAUCGGAAUGAGUACAAUUUAAAUCCCUUAACGAGGAACAAUUGGAGGGCAAGUCUGGUGCCAGCAGCCGCGGUAAUUCCAGCUCCAAUAGCGUAUAUUAAAGUUGUUGUGGUUAAAAAGCUCGUAGUUGAACCUUGGGCCUGGCUGGCCGGUCCGCCUCACCGCGUGCACUGGUCCGG